UGAAAAUGGCCGAGCAGUCCCUAAGCACUGUGAGUCUCUCUGCCCAAAUCAAAACCCCACCAUUUAUAUAGCAUAUUCCAUUUUGAAGCAUAACGUUCCCAGUUCCCACUGCUUUCUCCAUCUUCAGUGAAGAACCUUAUACCCUUGCCACCCUUUCUACUAAAAACUUCUCUCCCUCUCCAUUCUCAAUCGAUACUCAAAAAAUCCUCCCAAAAUGUUCACUUUUCCCCGCAUCGUAUCGAUUCAUUUCCUCAAUUAUUUUCCUGCAAAGCAAAUAAUUCUCCCCCAAUUGAAAAAAGAGGGAUAAUUUUCCUAUAUAAACUCAAUACCCACAAAGCGUCAAAGACAGGACAAAUUUCUUCAAAUUUAAUCAUAAUAUAGGGAAAAUGGGGUCAAUCAGGCUCUUUCUCAACCGUCCGAUCUCUCUUUCUACCCCGUCGGUGGAUAUUCAUCGUUCGGUUAAGACGCGAGCAUGUCUUAACGUGGACGUGCACGUGCAGCCACCGGAUUCUGUGAAGCUGAAUUUGAAGAGUAAGGAGGUGAUGGAGAUGGAGGCGAAGGUCCUGGUGGGGACUUAUGCAAGGAACCCUUUGGUGCUCGCCCAUGGCAAAGGUUGUAAAUUGUAUGAUCCUGAAGGACUAGAAUAUUUGGACUGCACGUCCGGUAUUGCAGUUAACGCCCUCGGCCACGGGGAUCCCGAUUGGGUUCGGGCGGUCACAGAGCAAGCCAAUUUGCUUACGCAUGUUAGUAACGUCUACUAUUCAAUCCCUCAGGUAGAGCUUGCAAAACGUCUGGUGGCUUGUUCUUUUGCUGAUCGUGUCUUUUUCACAAACUCUGGAACUGAAGCAAAUGAAGCUGCUAUCAAAUUUGCUAGGAAGUUUCAGAGGGUUAUACACCCUGAUGAGAAACACCCAGCAACUGGGUUCAUUGCUUUUACAAAUAGCUUCCAUGGAAGGACUAUGGGGGCUGUUGCUUUGACAAGCAAAGAGCAUUACCGCUUCCCUUUUGAGCCAGUCAUGCCUGGAGUUACUUUUCUGGAAUAUGGCAACAUGCAAGCUGCUAGGGAAUUGAUUAAAUGUGGGAAAAUUGCUGCCGUAUUCGUAGAACCUAUCCAGGGUGAAGGUGGCAUUUAUAGUGCAACAAAGGAAUUUUUGCAAUCCUUACGUAGUGCUUGUGAUGAAGCUGGUUGUCUCCUGGUUUUGGAUGAGGUUCAAUGUGGCUUGGGCCGAACUGGUUAUCUUUGGGCAUAUGAAGCCUAUGGUGUAGUCCCGGAUAUAAUGACCAUUGCUAAGCCUCUUGCAGGAGGCCUUCCCAUAGGAGCUGCAUUAAUGAGUGAAAGAGUUGCUGCUGCCAUUAAGUUUGGAGAACAUGGAAGCACUUUUGCUGGUGGACCUCUUGUCUGUACUGCUGCCAUCACUGUUUUGGAUAAAAUAUCAAGACCUGGUUUCUUGACCAGCGUCUCUAAGAAAGGUCAGUACUUCAAAGAAAUGCUAAUACAGAAGCUGGGAGGAAAUUCACAUGUGAGAGAAGUCCGAGGUUUGGGGCUUAUAAUAGGGAUAGAGCUGGAUGUGUCUGCUUCACCUCUUGUAGAUGCCUGCCGAAACUCUGGUCUAUUAAUAUUAACAGCAGGAGAAGGAAAUGUGGUUAGGCUGGUCCCUCCAUUGAUCAUCUCAGAACAAGAAUUGGAGCGUGCAGCUGAUAUUUUGUUUGAAUGUUUACCAGUACUUGAUAAGACAUUGAAGUGAGUAGAAGUCAUAGAAGCUAACGGGUGACGCCUGUUAAAAUUCUCUUAAUAUUGGACCUGUGUCUUGAAUAUUUAUUGUUAUGCAAUCAACCCUUAUUUGAUAUAAGAAAUCCUUUAACUUUCCAGUAGCGGUCGUUAACCUUGGUUUGCAUGUGCUGUGUGUUGUAUGUCUACAAACCUUGUUCACUUGUGAGAUCUGUCUAGAACACCUAGCCUAGCUACAGCUAAUAAUACUGAAGCCUUAAAAUUGCCUGAACACUAAGAGCUUACCAUGGAUGUGAAUUACGUCUCACUGCCCAUUAGUAUGCCUUGGCGAAAUGAGUAGCUGUGUAGCAUUUCCAAAUUCCUAAGGGUUAAAAAAGAAAAAUCCAAAUUUUUGUCCUGUUAUCCUAUAUGAUAUAACAUGCCGAUUAGAAGCUGAUGCAGGAAUUU
rnacentral:misc_RNA from 1 species